UGUAGUCAGUAAAAAGUAUUCUGAUGUAAAAAGCAUGCUUGCUGCCCAGAUGAUCCAGGGUUGAGUGAAGAGCCAAUGAAAUGGCAUCUGCUGUGGACGUGUUGUGCCGACAGGCAAACAGGAUUGGAUCCAAGUUACUUCUCAGGCAGGAUCUGAUGUGUUUCAUCUCCAAAUCUUUGAUUGCAGAUUGCAGAUUUUCUUGGUCUUGAUGAAAGGACAUUAAACUGAAAUGGUUCCCUUCUCCACAAAUGCCAUCCGAUCUGGCAUUCAAAGUAGAAUAGAGAAAUACAACAGAGUCAAUGAAAAACUACACAUAAACCAUGGCAGACAAAUA